AUAAUGAGGGUUUGUUUUGUUGUCGUCACAACUUUUAGGAUGUUAGUUAGUGUGAUAAAUUGUCGAAAUAACCUUUAGAUAACAUGUGAGUCUUUGCGCCACUUAACACAAUAGAUAAACGAGCCUAACUUGUGUGUUGUAACAGAAACGACAAUAAUGAUGAAUCAUGGAGGUGGAAACAUCUCAAUAUCCCGUCUGUGGAGUAUCUUCAACUAACUAAGCCACUGCAUAUGGUCCAGAGUAUCAGCUGGUUUUAAUACCUCAUUAUGUGACUGGAAGUUUCACUCCAGACUGUGGAUUAAAGUAGCCAGUUACUUUGUAACCAGUUGCACUCAACACUGGUUGUACAGAGGGAGGAGGAGGGAUGACCUGCAUGUUUUUGAAGCUGAAGUAACACUGAGCACUGAGUAAGUUCUGUCUUUGACUUACCAGACUGCAGCACAGGCUGGAACUGACCAGCCAUGCAGAUCUCAUCUUGUUUCUGGCGCACAAGACGCUGGAUUGCUGGAGGCAGGCCACGGGGGUUACGUGAAAAGACCAGGGAAUAUCCGUCAUCACAUGAGCCAUCAUCCUUCAGAGUGCGGCAAGCAUAGGUAAUGGCAUAGUUGUCAUAGUCGGUGUCGAUGACCCAGUAGUUGUCACCUUUA